rnacentral:rRNA from 1 species
GAGUUUGAGUCCUGGCUCAGGAUGAACGCUGGCGGCGUGCCUAAUACAUGCAAGUCGAGCGAACAGAUGAGAAGCUUGCUUCUCUGAUGUUAGCGGCGGACGGGUGAGUAACACGUGGGUAACUACCUAUAAGACUGGGAUAACUCCGGGAAACCGGGGCUAAUACCGGAUAAUAUAUUGAACCGCAUGGUUCAAUGUUGAAAGACGGUUUCGGCUGUCACUUAUAGAUGGACCCGCGCCGUAUUAGCUAGUUGGUAAGGUAACGGCUUACCAAGGCAACGAUACGUAGCCGACCUGAGAGGGUGAUCGGCCACACUGGAACUGAGACACGGUCCAGACUCCUACGGGAGGCAGCAGUAGGGAAUCUUCCGCAAUGGGCGAAAGCCUGACGGAGCAACGCCGCGUGAGUGAUGAAGGUCUUAGGAUCGUAAAACUCUGUUGGUAGGGAAGAACAAAUUUGUUAGUAACUGAACAAGUCUUGACGGUACCUAACCAGAAAGCCACGGCUAACUACGUG